CUACGGGCGGCACCGGUGGGGAAUAUUGGACAAUGGGGGAAACCCUGAUCCAGCAAUGCCGCGUGUGUGAAGAAGGCCUGCGGGUUGUAAAGCACUUUCGGUUGGGAGGACUGCUUCUAGCACUAAUAUUGUUGGAAGUUGACGUUACCUUCAGAAGAAGCACCGGCUAACUCCGUGCCAGCAGCCGCGGUAAUACGGGAGGGUGCAAGCGUUAAUCGGAAUUACUGGGCGUAAAGCGCGCGUAGGCGGCUAGAUCAGUCGGGUGUGAAAGCCCCGGGCUUAACCUGGGAACUGCAUCCGAUACUGUCUAGCUUGAGUACAGGAGAGGAGAGUGGAAUUCCACAUGUAGCGGUGAAAUGCGUAGAUAUGUGGAGGAACACCAAUGGCGAAGGCAGCUCUCUGGCCUGAUACUGACGCUGAGGUGCGAAAGCGUGGGGAGCAAACAGGAUUAGAUACCCGUGUAGUC
rnacentral:rRNA from 1 species